rfam:Planctomycetes bacterium GWF2_42_9 gwf2_scaffold_25082, whole genome shotgun sequence.
UUGAGCCGUAUGACGGGAAACUGUCAUGUACGGUUCUUAGGGGGGUGGGAGACGGCAACGUCUCCUGCCUACCCGAGU